GCAGCUCUUAUGGCGGCAGAGGCUCCGGCAACUAUGAAAAUCACAAGCAGAAGCAGAACAGAGGACAACAAUGAGUAGAGGCAAGGACGAAUUACAUCAGAAUCAAAACAACAACUUCGGCGUUUCAACUAGUACCAGCGGCGGACUUUACUCACGGCGGUGGCGACGGAGGGCACAAACGAUGGCACUGGAACAACGGCGCAGAACCUUCGCGGUUCUUCCUCUCUGAACCCGGUUCCCAACGGCGACGGUGGCAGAACAACAAUCCAGGAACAGCGGCUCCUCUCGUGCGUCCUCUUCCUCCAUCACUCAGUGAUGGUGACGCGACUCCACGGAACGGCAGCGACGAUGGAGCAUGAACGGCGACGGCGACAGGAGGCACAGCGACGCCUUCUUCCUCCUGCUCUUGGCUCGGGCUCGUUUCCCUCCUCCGGCUCCUUCUGCGACGGCAUGACUUCAACGGCGAUGCUUCCACAGCUCCACGAACGGCUGACAGGAAGCACUGCAGCGCGGGCAAGGCUGGGCGACACUGGGGAUGGUGGCGACGGCGUAGCAGGGCCCGACGAACGGAGGCGGCGACGGUGCCAAGCCCCCUCCGGC
rnacentral:lncRNA from 1 species